GACGAACGCUGGCGGCGUGCUUAACACAUGCAAGUCGAACGAAGAGCGAUGGAAGCUUGCUUCUAUCAAUCUUAGUGGCGAACGGGUGAGUAACGCGUAAUCAACCUGCCCUUCAGAGGGGGACAACAGUUGGAAACGACUGCUAAUACCGCAUACGAUCUAACCUCGGCAUCGAGGAAAGAUGAAAGGUGGCCUCUAUGUAUAAGCUAUCACUGAAGGAGGGGAUUGCGUCUGAUUAGCUAGUUGGAGGGGUAACGGCCCACCAAGGCGAUGAUCAGUAGCCGGUCUGAGAGGAUGAACGGCCACAUUGGGACUGAGACACGGCCCAGACUCCUACGGGAGGCAGCAGUGGGGAAUCUUCCGCAAUGGACGAAAGUCUGACGGAGCAACGCCGCGUGUGUGAUGACGGCCUUCGGGUUGUAAAGCUCUGUUAAUCGGGACGAAAGGCCUUCUUGCGAAUAGUUAGAAGGAUUGACG
rnacentral:rRNA from 1 species